rnacentral:rRNA from 1 species
AUUGCACGCUGGCGGCAGGCCUAACACAUGCAAGUCGAACGAGUGGCGGACGGGUGAGUAAUGUCUGGGAAACUGCUUGAUGGAGGGGGAUAACUAUUGGAAACGGUAGCUAAUACAGCAUAUCAUAGGAUGUGCCCAGAUGGGAUGGGCUAGUAGGUGGGGUAAAGGCUCACCUAGGCGACGAUCCCGAGCUGGUCUGAGAGGAUGACCAGCCACACUGGAACUGAGGCACGGUCCAGGCACCUACGGGAGGCAGCGGUGGGGGAUAGUGCACAAUGAGCGCAAGCCUGAUGCAGCCAUGCCGCGUGUAUGAAGAAGGACUUCGGGUUGUAAAGUACUUUCAGCGGGGAGGCGUUACCCGCAGAAGAAGCACCGGCUAACUCCGUACCAGCAGCCGCGGUAAUUC